CCCAGAAAGACCUUAAUAUGAGACAGCGUAGAUGGUUAGAGCUUAUUAAGGACUAUGAUUUAGACAUCCAGUACCAUGAGGGUAAAGCAAACGUUGUUGUUGACGCGUUAAAUCGCAAGUCUAGCCAUAGCCUGAAUAACUUGGUUGUUGUCGACAAACUUUGUGAGGAAUUUUCUAGACUCCAGAUAGAAGUGGUUCAUGAAGGGAAGGUAGAAAAAUUGAUGAGUGCCCUAACCAUCGAACCCAACUUUCUAAACGAAAUAAGAGAAAGUCAAUAUGGGGAUGUGAAACUUGAGCGAGUCAAAGCAAAGCUUAAGGAGGGCAAAGCAGAAGGGUUUGUAAUCCAUGAAGAUGGAAGUAUACGAUAUAAGGGUAGGUGGUGUGUACCACAAAAGUGUGAGGGGUUGAAACAGAAGAUAACGAGUAAGGGUCAUAACACGAAUUAUUCCGUCCACCCAGGGGGGAUAAGUUGUAUAAAGACCUCAAGAAAAUGUUCUGGUGGCCUGGGAUGAAAAGGGCAGUAGCUGAGUUUGUUUCGAAAUGUCUAACGUGUCAGAAAGUCAAAAGUGAACAUAAGAGACCUCAAGGAAAGAUUCAACCUCUAUAUAUUCCAACAUGGAAGUGGGAUUCGAUAUCCAUGGAAUUCGUUGUAGCCUUACCUAGGAGUCGGGGAGGCAAUAAUACCAUAUGAGGAAUAGUGGACAGGCUAACCAAGUCCGCGAGGUUCAUACCUAUGAAAGACACGUGGAGUAUGGAAGCUCUAGCCAAAGCGUAUGUUAAAAAUGUCACUCGAUUGCAUGGAGUACCCACGAGUAUAGUAUCAGAUAGAGAUUCGCGAUUUCUUUUGAAUUUCUGGAAAAAGGUCCAGGAAGCAUUUGGUAGUGAGCUAUUGAUUAGUACAACCUUUCACCCAGCUACAGACAGUCAAACUGAAAGAAUUAUUCAGACCUUAGAGGACAUGUUGCGAGCUUGUGCCUUAGAAUACUAGGGAUCAUGGAAAGACCAUUUGGACCUCAUAGAAUUCUCAUAUAAUAAUAGCUAUCAUGCUAGUAUUAAAAUGGCCCCAUUCGAAGCACUGUAUAGGAGAAAGUGUCGUAGCCCCUUGUGUUGGAGCAACAUUAGUGAGACUGUGGUGUUAGAUCCUGAGAUGAUUCAUGAGAUAGUGGAUCAAGUGCGAGUCAUUCAAGAAAAUAUUAAGGCCGCACAGGACAGGCAAAAAUCCUAUGUGGAUCAGAAGCGAAGGGAAGAGAAUUACAAAGUUGGGGAAAAAGUAUUGCUUAAGGUGUCUCCAAUGAAAGGAGUGAUGCGAUUUGGGAAAAGGGGGAAGCUAAGCCCUAAGUUCAUAGGACCAUAUGAGAUUUUGGCAAGAGUAGGCAAAGUCUCUUAUCGCCUGGAAUUACCCAACGACUUAGAAAGGGUCCAUAACGUGUUUCACGUAUCCCAACUCCGGAGAUACGUACCUGAUGAGUCACAUGUCCUAGAAUCUGAAAACGUCGAGCUAAAUGAAACCUUGUCCUAUGAGGAGAGACCUAUUAAGAUCCUAGACCGCAAGGUGCAUAGUACGAGGGAUAAGGACGUCAGAAUUGUCAAGGUGUUGUAGAGAAAUCAAAAUACCGAGGAAGCCACCUGGGAAGCCGAAGAUGCGAUGCGUCUGAAGUACCCUGAGCUUUUUGAAGAGGUAGGUGAGUUACGGGGACGUAACUUUUCUUUUAAGGGGGGAAGAAUGCGAUAUAAUUUUGCGCUUUCACCCUAAAGUAUGUUAAUUAUGUGUAAUUAUUGCUUAUCUGACGUGCAAAAGUUAGAAAACACUUGUGAAAUAUUGGGACUUAGAAGUGCAAAAGAUCGUCGUUAAGACUGGCUACCUCAAAGUUCGGGACGAAACUUCCUUUAAGGGGGAAGCAUGUAAUACUCCGUAUUUUGGAGUUAAAGAAUAUAACUGAAAGGUAUUUUAGUAUUAAUUACCAAAAAAAAUAUAUAAUAAUAAUAAUACAGUUUGAGUACACGUACAACUUUAACGUAAUUCAUUAUAAUUCGAUUUAUGUUAAUGUCGGAAUAAAUAAAGUAAACCAAGUCCUAUUUGACUUAGGAAGGCCACACACUAUAAAUAGGAGAGAAUAAAAAGAAAAGAAUAAAAUAAUCUAAAACCCUAAUCUCUCUCAUCCUAUCUCCCUCAGCCGUUUUUUUUUUCUUUCUCUGAUUCUCUCUCCUCCCUUCUCCUCCUACGACCCGCUUCCCCUCUCUUCUUCCUUGAACCAUCGGCGAGUCGGGUGCACAGUCGGAGUGAGUCGGGAUGUGUGCGCUGUGCGAGAGGGUCGUGCGAAGCGUGCGAGAGAGUUGUGCGAACAAGCUGAGCGUGAAGUCGAGUGUGAGCGUCGAGCGAGUCGUUUAAGGUUGUUCGAGCAACCCGUGUUGCGUGGUUUGGGGGUGCGGAGUUGCGCCUGCAAACCAAGGAGGGUCUUGUGCGAGACUGUGGUGCGAACGAGGGUGUCGAGGGCAUGGUGCGUGCGAGACGUGCGUGUCGUCAAAGGUCGGAGGGCGAGACUUCGAGGGUGUGCGUGUGGAGGUACGAGGCUCGAGUUGGACGACAUUGUGCGACGAGGAUUGUGCGUCGUCGAGGCUACGAGAACCUUGCGCGUCACUGCCGGAAUCACGUCGCCGGUGAUUAUCGCCUACGAGUUUAGCGGUACCAAUUUCAUAAGCGGAAUGUUUGGCUAAGACAUCGAAAAUUCUCCGUUACAAGAUUCUCUAGUGCAUUGUCAUCUACAGGUGUGCAGAUGAUGCAUCCUGGGGGCUCGAGUAUAGAGAGCUUGUGUAACAUAUUGAUUUAUUUAUUGUUUUAUAGUUUAUACAUUCAUAGUUAAGUUAGUUUUGAGUUAACGUUAACAUUGUUAUUGGGUGUUAAAGUUGACCUUGUUAUUUAUUAAAUUUCAAUUCCAUAGUUA